rnacentral:rRNA from 4 species
GGAUGCGAUCAUACCAGCACUAAAGCACCGGAUCCCAUCAGAACUCCGAAGUUAAGCGUGCUUGGGCGAGAGUAGUACUAGGAUGGGUGACCUCCUGGGAAGUCCUCAUGUUGCAUUCC